rnacentral:lncRNA from 10 species
GCCACACCUAAAAUAAACAUCAAUGGCAAGGGUAGGUCAACUGCAGCAGUUUCUGAACAAGAAAACCAGAGGCAGAGCGUGAUCAAUAACAAAAUGACUGGAAGAAAGAGAAGGGAGAGAAAGACAGCCAGAGAAGCAACUUCAGAGGCAAAAUAGACACUAAACCCAAUGCCUUUUUGAAAUGCUGUGAAAGGAACAACAUAGCAAAAUUUAAGAAUAACUAUUAACCCAGACCGUCAUGCAGGUGUGAUGUUAGCAGCUGCUUAGAAACUUUCUCCCCCAGUGAGAAAGAAGAACAACUGUGUCCAAGACUUUCAGUAGUAUAUUGAAUAAAAGUGGCGAGAACGGAAGAUCACCAAAUAGGAACAGCUCCAGUCUAUAGCUCCAAGCAAGAUUAACACAGGAGAAUGACAAAAGAAUGGAUCAUUAACAAGAUAUUAUAGAAAACUACAUUCUGGUGAGAAACUCUGAUGAAACACAACAGCCCAUAUUGUCGAUGAAAUAAUUCUUCAAUCAUAGGUGAGUGUGACCUGCAGAAGACACUGAUACUACUUGUCAUGAACUCCCAGUUGAGGACUCAGAGAAAUUAAAGAGAAGACCUAAUGGGAGCUGUAGGAGCUACAAUCUUGCUACUGACCCAUCUCCACAGGAUAAAGGCAAAUCAGUGACACUGAGCAUACACGGUAACAGCAACACUUGGUACCUCUUCGGAGUAUAAUGAGGCUGUUUUUCUACAGAUGGUUUCAUGGCUUAUCCUUUACUUCCUUUAUGACCUAAUUUAUUCUUUUGAGGAAUUCCCAGAUUAUCUUUUAAAAUUAUAACUCUGUUCUUGACAGUAACUCCUUGUUCCCUGCUUUAUUUUUGUCCAUACCACCUUUUAUCUUACAACACACUAUACACCUAUCUUACUUGUGUAUCUUAACUUCUAUCUCACCCACGAGGAAGUAAGCUUUAUAAGAGCACGUACAUUAACUGUGUUGUUUCACAUGAUAGACAAUAACAUUUGUCGGACGGAAUGGACAAAUUCUAGUUUCUCAAUUAAAUUAAAUGGCCUAAUAUUUUAAAUUUUGUUAACCAGGUUAUGUGGAAUACCCUCCAGAAAGAGUGGCUAUUAUCUUUAUACAGAACCUUGACAACAGAUGUGUUUAUUUCUUCAAUUAGGUUGAGCCAUA